GAUGAACGCUGGCGGCGUGCUUAACACAUGCAAGUCGAACGGAAAGGCCAUGCUUUUGUGUGGUGCUCGAGUGGCGAACGGGUGAGUAACACGUGAGUAACCUGCCCUUGACUUUGGGAUAACUUCAGGAAACUGGGGCUAAUACCGGAUAGGAGCUCCUGCUGCAUGGUGGGGGGUGGAAAGUUUCGGCGGUUGGGGAUGGACUCGCGGCUUAUCAGCUUGUUGGUGGGGUAGUGGCUUACCAAGGCUUUGACGGGUAGCCGGCCUGAGAGGGUGAACGGCCACAUUGGGACUGAGAUACGGCCCAGACUCCUACGGGAGGCAGCAGUGGGGAAUAUUGCACAAUGGGCGGAAGCCUGAUGCAGCAACGCCGCGUGCGGGAUGACGGCCUUCGGGUUGUAAACCGCUUUCGCCUGUGACGAAGCGUGAGUGACGGUAAUGGGUAAAGAAGCACCGGCUAACUACGUG
rnacentral:rRNA from 1 species